UACGGAGGGUGCAAGCGUUGUCCGGAAUCACUGGGCGUAAAGGGCGCGUAGGCGGCUCAUGAAGGCUGUGGUGAAAGUCCGGGGCUCAACCUCGGAUCGGCCGUGGCGACUCGUGGGCUGGAGCACUGUAGAGGCAGGUGGAAUUCCGGGUGUAGCGGUGGAAUGCGUAGAGAUCCGGAAGAACACCAGUGGCGAAGGCGGCCUGCUGGGCAGUGGCUGACGCUGAGGCGCGACAGCGUGGGGAGUAAACAGG
rnacentral:rRNA from 1 species